rfam:Lupinus angustifolius cultivar Tanjil chromosome LG06, whole genome shotgun sequence.
GGCAAGGGGAAUAUGACUAUUUAAUUAAAACAAAGCAUUGCGAUGGUCCCUACAGAUGUUGACGAAAUGUGAUUUCUGCCUAGCGUGGGUAAACGGCGGUAGUAACUAUAACUCUCUUAAGGUUGCCAAAUUCCUCGUCAUCUAAUUAGUGAUGCACAUGAAUGGAUUAACGACAUUCUC